rnacentral:rRNA from 1 species
GUAGGGAAUCUUCCGCAAUGGACGAAAGUCUGACGGAGCAACGCCGCGUGAGUGAUGAAGGUUUUCGGAUCGUAAAACUCUGUUGUUAGGGAAGAACAAGUACCGUUCGAAUAGGGCGGCACCUUGACGGUACCUAACCAGAAAGCCACGGCUAACUACGUGCCAGCAGCCGCGGUAAUACGUAGGUGGCAAGCGUUGUCCGGAAUUAUUGGGCGUAAAGCGCGCGCAGGCGGUUUCUUAAGUCUGAUGUGAAAGCCCCCGGCUCAACCGGGGAGGGUCAUUGGAAACUGGGGAACUUGAGUGCAGAAGAGGAGAGUGGAAUUCCACGUGUAGCGGUGAAAUGCGUAGAGAUGUGGAGGAACACCAGUGGCGAAGGCGACUCUCUGGUCUGUAACUGACGCUGAGGCGCGAAAGCGUGGGGAGCGAACAGGAUUAGAUACCCUGGUAGUCCACGCCGUAAACGAUGAGUGCUAAGUGUUAGAGGGUUUCCGCCCUUUAGUGCUGCAGCAAACGCAUUAAGCACUCCGCCUGGGGAGUACGGUCGCAAGACUGAAACUCAAAGGAAUUGACGGGGGCCCGCACAAGCGGUGGAGCAUGUGGUUUAAUUCGAAGCAACGCGAAGAACCUUACCAGGUCUUGACAUCCUCUGACAACCCUAGAGAUAGGGCUUCCCCUUCGGGGGCAGAGUGACAGGUGGUGCAUGGUUGUCGUCAGCUCGUGUCGUGAGAUGUUGGGUUAAG